rnacentral:lncRNA from 1 species
AUGAAGCUGCUAUAUAGGAAGUGCCGUCUGAUGCGAUAACUGACGAUGGCAAAGCAAAAUCAGCCUGAGACACAACGUGCAGAUGCGAGAUGUUUCACUGUUUAGGAGACAGCAGGUGUCUGAUCACAUGUUUUUCUUCUCCACAGGUGAGCAUCUGCUUCUGAACGCUGCUUCAGCACUGAUCAGAUUGAGCGGAAACCACCAUGAAGUCUCCUGAUUCACCUGAGUGGAGAGCUAUAUGCUCCACAGUGACCAUGAUGAAUGCUGGAGAUUGACGUCAGAUCAUAGUGUCUUUUUACAAUGUUUGUUUAUUAAAUAAAACAUAUCAAAAUGAUUCCCGUCUCUGUGUGGUCAUGUGUUGAAGACAGAGUUGUAUGAGGUUUUCUUCAGCGUGUCCAGGAAGUACUGCUCCUCCUGCAGGAAGUCUUUGUCCUGUUAGAGAAAUGAGCAGAAACCAUUAGUACGGUUGGGACGUUGCCUAUUUAGGGCAGUGAUUCUCAAACUUUUUACAGCAGCAUACCCCCUGGGGCAUUUAACAUUCUUCUGCG